GAAAUGCGAUAAGUAGUGUGAAUUGCAGAAUUCAGUGAAUCAUCGAAUCUUUGAACGCACAUUGCGCCCUUUGGUAUUCCUUAGGGCAUGCCUGUUCGAGCGUCAUCUAAACCUUCAAGCCCUGCUUGGUGUUGGGUGCCUGUCCCGCCUCCGCGCGCGGACUCUCCUCAAAUCCAUUGGCGGCCCCCGCGUCGGCCACGAGCGCAGCAGAAACGCGAACUCGUGAGCCCGUCCGGGCGGCUCCCAGAAGCUACACCCACCCAGUUUGACCUCGGAUCAGGUAGGGAUACCCGCUGAACUUAAGC
rnacentral:misc_RNA from 1 species